rnacentral:lncRNA from 1 species
AAAAAUAAGAUUAGAAGAUGAAACGGAAUAAAAAUAAAAUGAAUAAAUUAAAAUGAAAUGAAGUAAAGAAAAAUAAAAUAAAAGGGAUAAACGAAAAUGACAUAAAAUAAGAUGGGGUAAAUAAAAUAAAAGAGGUGAAUGAAAUAAAGUAAAAUAAGUAAUUAAAAUAAACUAGAAUGAGGUAAAAUAAGAUGAGAUAAUAAAAUCAAUGAAGUAAAUAAAAUAAAAUAGGGUAAGGGAAAAUAAGGUGAAAUGGAUGGAAUACAGGAAAAAGGAUGAAAAUAAGCUAAAGGAAAAUAAUUGGAUGAGGUUAAGCAAAAAUGAAAUAUUAAAAAAAAAACGGUAAAUUGGUGAAGGGAGGGGGAAGGUUUAGUAUUAGACUAUUCGGCUACUAUGUGAAUAAAGAGGGACUACAUUAGAAAAAAAAAGGUUUAGAGAGAGAGAGCGUCCUUUGUUGCUUUAGGGGUUUUAAGGUGGGGGUGGAAACGAAAGUAUCACGAAACAAAAGGGAUGGAACGAAAUGAAAUCAACGAGAACUUAAAAUGAAAAACGAAAUAAGAAGUGGAAGCAGGAGUUUUGUUUUGUGGGUUUUUUUAGAGAGAGAGGGAAGAAGCGGAAGGUUGCAGCGAGAAGCUCGCGAGUGGAUGAAAGUGGAUAGAGGGGCUCACGAUUUUACUGCAGAUGGCGGAGAAGAAGAUGGUUGAGCUUUUGGCUGCAAGUGGAGAGGCGACUGGUAUGGUGGAGAGAGAGAGAAAUAGCAGAGUGAAGGGGCUUGAUGGGUUUGUAGAGAGAGAAAGAAGGGUUGUAGAGAGAGAAAGAAGGGUUGCAGAGAGAAAGGUGCGCAAGAGAGCAGGCUACUAAUUGCUGUAAGCCGAGGAAUUAAGUGAGAGGAGGUUUGCGAGUGGGAGUUGCAGUGAAUGGGAUAGGGGCGGAAAUGACACGAAGAAGGUAGCGGGUAGAGGGAGAAUGCUCUGGUUUCAAGUGGUGGAAUAGGGAUGCAGUGAGGUGAAGCAGCAAGGUGAAGGCGUAGUGAGAAAGAACUAAGUUUUGGAGUGGCUCAGCCGUGGUGGAGAAGGCUUGAUGGCUGUGACUGUAGGUGAUUGCAAGUUGGAGGUCGUGGAUGCUAGUCAGUUGAAGAAGAGGGGCCGGCCAGGGAGGUGAACAGCAGAUGAAGGGAAUGCGUAAUGUCGUGCGGGAGUGGGAGAGAUGAAGAUGGGGAGAGCUGGUAACAGUGUGGUAUCGUGGCUGGGGGAAGAUUCCAGUUGUGAUGGCGGAAAUGGUGGACGGUGGUGAGAGGACAACAAAGUGAGAGGGUGAACGUGGCAGGGAUUAGCGAGAGGGGGUGGUGACUCAGGUCGCCACCUGGUUCUAAUGGUGAGAGGAGGACGAAAGAGCGGGCUUGGGACACGAGGAAGAGAGGACAGCGGCUAUGGCUGCCUGUAUUUGGUUGAGAAGGGUGGCUGGAAGCGUGAGGAGCAGAAUGGCAGUUGGGUGGUUUGCUGCAAUUGUAGGAGGCGGCAGCUACAGAGGCUGUCGUCCGGUUCCAAAGAGUUAUAGAAGCAGAGAAGUAGGAAAGGACAGUGGUGGGGGAUGGGCUGCAGAUGGCUGAGGUGGUGGCUUAGUAGUGAAGUUGGGAGUGCUCAGCCACGAAGGAAAAGGGGGUGCACGGCAAGGUGGAGGAGGAACACACAGCCGGCAGUAAGGUGGGUUACACAGGAGGCGAUGUGAAGGAUUACACUCACGGCGAUAGGACACACACGGCGAUAGAGAGAAAGGUUGCACAGACGGCGAUAGGUAGAAAGGUUGCACAGGCCGCGAUAAGGUAUGGUAGCACAGGCGGCGUUACAGUUUGUUACAAGGGGAUUGGAAAAAGAGAGAAAAAAGAGAAAUAGAAGAGAGAGAGAGAAAAGAGAUUUAUAUUAAGCCCAGGGGUACCAACAAAAAAUUUCUCUUUUCAUCUUCUCUCUCUCAAAACGUGACCCAACAAUGUAGAAAGAUCAAAAUUUUUAUUGUACAGUCCCUUGUACAAUAAUAUAAAGUGAUAUAUAUAGACUUUUGUCCAAAUAUGGGUAGAUUAAUAAAAAUCAACCGUAAUUGUUGAAAAAUUAAGAUUUAAUUGAAUUAAAAGAAAUUAUCAAAAUAGGUGCAAAAUGGUUGUUGGUUGUUUUGCUCCUGCUUAAGAAUACAUGAAAUUCCAAAAUUGUCCCUACUACUGUCUUAAAAUGUGCAUGAUCUUCCAUGGCCGAUUCGGGGUUGCUCUGAUGCCCUUUUCACUUAAAGAUGAUUGCUUUA